rnacentral:rRNA from 1 species
AGUGAACGCUGGCGGUAGGCCUAACACAUGCAAGUCGAACGGCAGCACAGUAAGAGCUUGCUCUUACGGGUGGCGAGUGGCGGACGGGUGAGGAAUACAUCGGAAUCUACUUUUUCGUGGGGGAUAACGUAGGGAAACUUACGCUAAUACCGCAUACGACCUACGGGUGAAAGCAGGGGAUCUUCGGACCUUGCGCGAUUGAAUGAGCCGAUGUCGGAUUAGCUAGUUGGCGGGGUAAAGGCCCACCAAGGCGACGAUCCGUAGCUGGUCUGAGAGGAUGGACCGCCACACUGGAACUGAGACACGGUCCAGACUCCUACGGGAGGCAGCAGUGGGGAAUAUUGGACAAUGGGCGCAAGCCUGAUCCAGCCAUACCGCGUGGGUGAAGAAGGCCUUCGGGUUGGAAAGCCCUUUUGUUGGGAAAGAAAAGCAGCAGGUUAAUACCCCGCUGUUCUGACGGUACCCAAAGAAUAAGCACCGGCUAACUUCGUG